rnacentral:lncRNA from 1 species
UUCAGAUAGUGUUCAGAGCCCAGGAAGUAAAAAUCCUAUAUAACUCUACAUACCUAAAAUAGUAUAUCGGUUGUGGGUGGCAAAGUUACAGAUAAUUUGGACAAAUAAGACAGGGAUCCAGCAAUACAGCAAUGACUGUAAAUACCUAGAGAAGUUCGAAGAUCUAUGGAAAGAAGAAAAAACCUAAAUGCAGAUAUUACAACUGUCUACAGAUGUAUUAAAGGCUUUCCACAGGAAGGAAAAAUAGAUCGGCAAUGUUGCUGUAGUCGGCAAGGCACAGAGUUACAGACAUCAACAUUGCGACUUCAUACGAGAAUUUUCUAAAACCUAUGGCUGUUCCAACAUUUUUGCCUAGGGUGCCAUAGAAACAGCUCCAGUGUUGAGAAUCAGGGUAAACUAGAUGAAUGCCAAAAUCUUGUACAUUCUAAGGUUAUAGGAGGUAUAACCUUGUGAUGUCAAAGAGCAGACAUUCUCAUGGAUUCCACAAAUAAUAAGCCUCUUUCCAAGCAUAUGUAUUCUAAGCAGCACCUGCUUCAAAAAGCCCCCUGAAUCCUCCAGAACAGUUUGCUCAUCAUGGCAUGACUAAGAUUAACACUGAGAAUCAUUGCUUAUGCCUGGAGCCAGUCUUUUGUCCUGUUUGCUGCACAUCUCUGGAGUACCCUAUGCUGACAACACUGCCUCCGAGCCUUCUUCUCACCUUGGUUUCUCUACCUUUUCAAAGCCAAACACCUGCCUCUUCUCUUCAGUAUCCUCCCGGAAUUUCAGGAACAUUGAUGAAUAAGGAAGUUAUUUCCAGCAUGAGUUUCUUGAAGAGGGAAGCUGCGCCUUGUUUAUGUUCAUCUCCCCAGUGGCCAAUAUAGUUCCAGGCAUCCAUCCAGUGUUUUCUGAAUGAACAAACCAGAGAUCUCGCCAGGUGUGGUGGAAACAGCAAGCUGUGUAGGACAGGAACUGUCCAAGGCCAUAAAGGAGAGUGACCUGAACCGCGCAGACUACAAGUCUUCUAGGUCCCUAAAGGCCCUAGGGCAGCAAAAGACUUUGAGAUGGCAACCUGAGGCUCUAAUCCCACGACUACUGAGGUCCAAGGCCAAAGCAAC